AAUACCUGAUGCAGAAAAGGACAAGGUUAAAAGUGAAAAUAAAAAUCUGUUUCCCUCUCAGGGACUAGUGGUUCCCACAGCUCCUCUGGAGGAUUUGAUUUCAUUCCAUGAUUCUCCGAAACCUUUAAAAUCAAGGGGUUCACAGAAGUGCUCUUCUAGCUCAUCAGAUUCCAAAAAUGCCGAUUCUGAUCUAGUUACUGAUCCUGAUUAUUCUUCUGAUAUUAUUAAGCUUAUGGCUUGUGGAGAACACUUUGAAAUAAGAUUGAAUUGUAUAACCCUAAGUGUGCUGUAACCCUAAAAGUGUGUUGUGACUUUAAGAGUGCUGUAACCUAUGUGUGAUGUAACCCUAAGAGUGAUGUAACCCCAAGUGGUAUGGAACUGAUAAGGGUGUAGCCCGAGCUGGAUGGGGUGUACCCCGAAUGGGCAGGGUGUGCCCCAAACUGGACAGUGUGAUAAGUCUGAACCAAAACCACAAAUGCCCAGUUAGAAUAGCAUGAAAGGAGCUGAAGACUCCAAGCAAGUCGUCGAUCCGUCCACCAACCAAGACAUCUGCACACCUGAUCCCGCUGGAAGGAGCAUCGCGGCCAACCAGACGAGACCAGAGGACGAGGCAAGCGGAGAGACGGAUAGCCUAGCACCGACUGGACGCCCUUCAUCUACGGAUCGGACCCUCUGACCCUACGGGAGGAAACGUCCGGCUCCCAUAAGGACUUGCGCAGUACAGACCUUGAUAUCUAUGAGACCUCUGGAAAGUGACUUCACCCAGGGGUCCCCAACCUCUGAAGCAUGGACUAGUACCAGACUGUGGCCUACUAAGAAGCAGACCAUACAGCAGGAGAUUACUCAAGAAUACCCUAAACGGGUGGUGGUGAACCUGUGGCAUACAGAACCCUCUCUGUCCAAACUUGAACCAAGUUGCCCCAGCCAAGGUAAUGACAAAUUAUCAGCAUAUGUACAACAGCAAAGAUCACAUUAAUUGUGCAAAAGGAUACCAAAUGCAAACUUUUACCUUUCAAUAAAAAGCUGUAUCAUUGAAAAACAAAAAAAGUUUAAGGGACAGAUAAAGAGUAAGCAUAUCUGUCCUUGUUCCCCACCUUAAAGAGAAAGUAUUGCAUCUUCUCCAUUCAUAUAAGGUGUUCUCGUUGAAAGUAUGGAGUACAUGUCUUUAAUCUGUUGAGAAGGUUCUGUUCUACUUCUAGUCUCCUGAUAGCUUGUACCAUGAACAGCUGUAGAAUUUAGUCCAAUACUUUUUCUCCAACUAGUGACAGGUUCAUAUGGCUUUUUCCUUUCCUCUGUUAAAAUGAUGACUUUUAGGGGGUGGAUCUUCCAACGCUGAACCAACACUGCCAUCCGUAUAACAAUUCUACAUCCUGCCAGAUCUGACUUCUAAUAUUUUAUUUUGUUCAACAAAUUUCUAUCUAUGUUCAUACUUCUUUCUUCUAUUAUCUAUAUCCAGUUUGGGAUUAGCACAAUGUUGAGUUCCUAAAAUGAGGGGAGAAGUGUUCCUUCUUUUUUCUGCUUUAAUUGAUGUAAUUUAUCAGUUAAAAUGUAUAUGAGCCUACUGUUGUCAUAUAGGUAGGUUUUCAAGCUAGGAAUAUACUUUCUUUAAUAGGUGCUAUUCAAAUUUUAUAUUUCCUCCAGAGUUAUGUUCAUUAAUUUGUCUUCCAAGGUACUUCUUAGAAGUUGUCAAAUUUAUUUUAAAACAGAUUUUUGUAAUAUGCUUUCUAUAUCCUUUUAAAUUCUGUAAAAUCUGUGGUAAUGUCUCCUACAUCUUGAUAUUGUAAUUUAAAAAAUGUAUAAUUGAUAUUGUAUAACAGGAAGAAAAUGUCUAAAGUUGCAGGGGAAGUGGGAGGGGUUGGGGAAAGGAAAAAAGGGAAAAGAAAAAAUAUGAGAAAAGGAAAAAAAUGGAAACAAAGUCUUUGCAAAUAGG
ensembl:lncRNA